rnacentral:rRNA from 1 species
GACGAACGCUGGCGGCGUGCUUAACACAUGCAAGUCGAGCGGAAAGGCCCUUUCGGGGGUACUCGAGCGGCGAACGGGUGAGUAACACGUGAGUAAUCUGCCCUUGGCUUUGGGAUCACUACCGGAAACGGUGGCUAAUACCGGAUACGACGUACUCAGGCAUCUGAUGUGCGUGGAAAGUUUUUUCGGCCAGGGAUGUGCUCGCGGCCUAUCAGCUUGUUGGUGAGGUAAUGGCCUACCAAGGCUUCGACGGGUAGCCGGCCUGAGAGGGUGACCGGCCACACUGGGACUGAGACACGGCCCAGACUCCUACGGGAGGCAGCAGUGGGGAAUAUUGGACAAUGGGCGGAAGCCUGAUCCAGCAACGCCGCGUGA